rnacentral:misc_RNA from 1 species
CAGUGAUGAUGAUCAAGUAACAAUCGGAAUCGCGAGAUGGAACACUAAGGGUUACAUUCCUUGGAUGCUGGCUUUAUCUCCAUAUUCAGCUCAAUUAGUUGGGGCAAGUAAAGUCCUUUGGGCAAAUCUUGCCGCAAUUGUUGAGGAUGAGGUUGAGGCUAAGGGGCACGUUGAGGUGGAUGCCGAGGACGUUGGCCUUGAUGGCGGUGCAGAGGCACAAUGCGGCGUCGAGGUCCACCAGGCCCUCCAGCAGCGGGCAGCAUUGCUCGUGUUGGGGCAGGCCGACCUUGACGAGGCCCAGCACGUUGGCGCACACCUUGAGUUUCAGCGCGUCGAUCGGGCAGCGCCCGUGGCUGUGCGACGGCACGACUGGUGGGGUUGGUACGACUGGGCCGGAGCAAUAGGGUCCGCAGCCAUGCGCGGCGGCAGCGAAGAGGAGGCUGAGGGCAAGGAAGAGCGCAACCUUGGGAGCCAUUGUGGCGAUGGAGUGUUAGUACUACGGUGUGUGAUGAGCAGCAGCGCAGGAAGUGGUGCUGCAGUGC